GAUGAACGCUGGCGGCGUGCCUAAUACAUGCAAGUCGAGCGAACAGACGAGGAGCUUGCUCCUUCGACGUUAGCGGCGGACGGGUGAGUAACACGUAGGUAACCUACCUAUAAGACUGGGAUAACUUCGGGAAACCGGAGCUAAUACCGGAUAAUAUUUCGAACCGCAUGGUUCGAUAGUGAAAGAUGGCUUUGCUAUCACUUAUAGAUGGACCUGCGCCGUAUUAGCUAGUUGGUAAGGUAACGGCUUACCAAGGCAACGAUACGUAGCCGACCUGAGAGGGUGAUCGGCCACACUGGAACUGAGACACGGUCCAGACUCCUACGGGAGGCAGCAGUAGGGAAUCUUCCGCAAUGGGCGAAAGCCUGACGGGGCAACGCCGCGUGAGUGAUGAAGGUCUUCGGAUCGUAAAACUCUGUUAUUAGGGAAGAACAAACGUGUAAGUAACUGUGCACGUCUUGACGGUACCUAAUCAGAAAGCCACGGCUAACUACGUG
rnacentral:rRNA from 1 species